GUGCCUGUAGCUCAAUUGGAUAGAGCGUCUGACUACGGAUCAGAAGGUUGGGGGUUCGACUCCCUCCAGGCACG
rnacentral:tRNA from 1 species